UACGAGGGGGGCAAAUGUUGUUGGGAAUCACUGGGCGUAAAGGGAGCGUAGGCGGGCUUUUAAGUUAGGUGUUUAAUCCCGGGGCCCAACCCCGGACAGGCACCUAAAACUGGGAGUCUUGAAUAGUGGAGAGGACGGCGGAAUUGGGGGUGUAGCGGUGGAAUGCGUAGAGAUCCCCAAGAACACCAGUUGCGAAGGCGGCCGUCUGGACACAUAUUGACGCUGAGGCUCGAAAGCAUGGGGAGCAAACAGG
rnacentral:rRNA from 1 species